GCUCCAGUAGUGUAUAUUAAUGUUGUUGCAGUUAAAAAGCUCGUAGUCGGAAAGGAGCGUGGGGGCGUGAGGGUGCGCAAGGAAUUGCGUGUCUGAGGCGAGCCGCCUUAGAGUUCAUACACCAGCUGAUCUCUUGAUUGGGAUUGGAGCCAGAGGCGCGUUGCGGGUGCGGCGUGCUGGGGGGUAUGAUAGGUUACCUU
rnacentral:rRNA from 1 species